GACGAACGCUGGCGGCGUGCCUAAUACAUGCAAGUUGAGCGAUGAAGAUUGGUGCUUGCACCAAUUUGAAGAGCAGCGAACGGGUGAGUAACGCGUGGGGAAUCUGCCUUUGAGCGGGGGACAACAUUUGGAAACGAAUGCUAAUACCGCAUAACAACUUUAAACAUAAGUUUUAAGUUUGAAAGAUGCAAUUGCAUCACUCAAAGAUGAUCCCGCGUUGUAUUAGCUAGUUGGUGAGGUAAAGGCUCUCCAAGGCGAUGAUACAUAGCCGACCUGAGAGGGUGGUCAGCCACAUUGGGACUGAGACCCGGCCCAAACUCCUUCGGGAGGGAGCAGUAGGGAAACUUCGGCAAUGGGCGGAAGUCUGAGCGAGCAACGCCGAGUGAGGGAAGAAGGUUUUCGGGUCCUAAAACUCUGUUUGUAGGGAAGAACGUUGGUGAGAGUGGAAAGCUCAGCAAGUGACGGUAACUACCCAGAAAGCAACGGCUAACUACGUG
rnacentral:rRNA from 1 species